UGAAGAUAUUAAUCGCGUCCUCAAUGUCUAAUCCAGAUUCGAUUUCCAUAUUUAGGUGGAGGGAGUCGCUGAGGGUGUUUUGCAACAGUUUGAUGUUAGAUCCUACAGGCAAAAGUCUUCGAUUGUCAGGAAGUAAGUUUGGGUGCUGGUCCAUCGUGAUGUGUUCAAAAACAGAAUAAACUCCAAAGUCAAUGGCUGAGGGAUUUUUUCGCCGGUCGUGUGGGAAAUGAGUAGGACCACCCGUCGCCAGGAUGUCCAGUUUCUUGUCAGCCUGGAUCACUUCAAGGAGAGUUCUGCCGCGUUUACAUGACCUUGAAUUA